CUAUAUCUAGCAUGAUGCGAUAC
rnacentral:snRNA from 1 species